rnacentral:rRNA from 1 species
UGAGGAAUAUUGGGCAAUGCCCGCAAGGGUGACCCAGCAACGCCGCGUGGAGGAUGAAUGUCGUAAGAUUGUAAACUCCUGUUAGAGGGGAAGAAUAGUACCGGUUGGACCGGUAUAUGACUGUACCCUCAGAGAAAGCCCCGGCUAACUACGUGCCAGCAGCCGCGGUAAUACGUAGGGGGCAAGCGUUGUCCGGAUUUACUGGGUGUAAAGGGCGCGCAGGCGGGAUAAAAAGUCAGUGGUGAAAUCCUACAGCUUAACUGUAGAACUGCCUUUGAUACUUUUAUCCUUGAGUUCGGGAGAGAGAGACGGAAUUCCAGGUGUAGUGGUGCAAUACGUAGAUAUCUGGAAGAACACCAGUUGCGAAGGCGGUCUCUUGGUCCAACACUGACGCUGAGGCGCGAAAGCGUGGGGAGCAAACA